AGUUGGAAUCCUGUGGCCUAAAAGGGGAGGUUGUAGUGAGCAGAACCCUAAAAAUAAGCAACCAAUGUGCAUACUUUUCUUUGUUUUAUAUUAGGAUAUAUAAAUGUUAUAUUCUAAAGGCCAUGGAAACCCUUACCUUGACAUCAAGCCCCAUAUUUCAUGCAGCAGAAGAAUUAUGCAUACAAGCACAAGGUGAUGAAUGGGAGAAGAAACCUGUCCCUCUAGGAAUGCUGAUUCCAAAAUAGUGAGCAUUUGCUUCACUCUGCUAACACCAAGGAGAUGGACUCCUUCUCCAGGUUUCCAGUCAAGGAGGAAAACAUGCUUUGAAACCAAGUACAUCUUUCUUAAGUUUAAUUGUAUUUCAAUACUAUGCAUCCCAAUUUCACAAACAGUUGCUACAGAAGUUCCUGAACUCAGACUGGUGUAUGAGGUAGCACUGAUGGCAUACUGCACGGCCACGCUUAUCGCACGCGCUGCACAUUCCCUCUGCCACCAGCAGCUGCACACACUGUGCUCCCAGCGUGUUGGGCUCCUCUGGCUCCAGUAUUUCGCACCGUGCCCGCCUGCAUGCAGAUAUUGCUGAGAACUCUCCUCUUCGAGAAUUCCCGCCUUCGUUUCUCCAAACAAACAGAGAAAGCAGCCUUGCAGAGGGCAUGCAGCCAGGAGGCAACAGGGCUGCCAGCCAGGCAGAGAGAAAUGCAAGAUUCCCUGCAGCUGGCAUCAUAGGAUGCCCCCACCAGAUCAGUCUGCUUGGAGCUCCAUCCAACCUGGCCUUGAGCACCUCCAGGUAUGAGGCACCUACAUCGGUGUAUAUCAGUGGUUAUAUUUUGAUGUAAAAUGUGGUAUUAAGCUUGCAAAUCUUCUCUCCUUCUUUUAUGGGAUGGGAUAGGGAAGAUCUACUCUCAUGUAUAAAAAGGAGAAUAUCCUCCGUAUGUGUUAGGCAGGAUGUGAUGCUGCAUCCCAGUAUAAAACCGUAUUCACAUCCACAGCACAGCCCUCAUCUCCUGCCUGUGAUAUGUAGAGGAUCUUUCCAUCCAGCAGACAGCUUUGUGGCUCAUCUCAGAGCAAAGCUGUCUAUUUUUGCCUGCAGAACCAAUGCAUUAACAUGGAGGAGUGGCACCAACAAGAAUCGCUGGAGCUGCUGCCCGGCACCCAGUCCCCUAUUUCUCCUUCAAAUCUUUUUUUUCCAAUUAAAUUAAUUUAAAAUGAAUGAAAAAAUGCGUCAUGCCCUAAGAUCCUGAAAGCUCUGGUGUCAGCUGAAAGCAGCAUUCCUGCUCCCAGCUGCAGCCCUCGCUGCAGGCACCUCUGCUUUGAAGCCUUUGAAGUGGCUGUGGCACAGGCAAGGCUCUCUGUGGAGAAAGGCAGUCAUUUUAUAUAUAUUUAAUGUGUAAAGUGUGGGUGUUUGUGUUAGCAUAACCGAUUCUUACAAUGCACAGAGAAUGUUGUGGAAGAGUUCUUGACCUGCAGAACCAAAUUGCAGAAAAAACCCCCAGCGGUCAUGGUAGGAUGGGUCCUUCCCACCCCAAAUUGUGUAAAUUGGGUAAGUGUAGCCAGACAGCUGCAGAUGAAAGCAUGAAAAGUGCUUCUUUGGUGCUCAUUUUAUAGAUGAAUUUAUUGUUUAUAAGAGCGAGAGACUGAAACAUUUCUUCCAGCAUCGGGAUUUACUUUUAGUGGAAAGAAUGCUGUUGGGAUGUGAUGCAAGAACAAUGCAAUAAAUGUGAUUAAUGGUUGGUUUUUGGAGCUAAUUACUGGGCUCACUUGGUAAUGACCUUGAUCCUAGGAGCGCUGUGUGUGGCUUGGGAGGCAGACUGUGUGUGAGAGAUGAUCUGAUAUAUAGUUGUAUGUGAGCGAAGGACCCACCUCAGCAAUCACUGGCACUAAUUCAGUGGUUGAUUUGUCUAAAUUGAUAAAUUUCCCUACGGUUUAUUUAUUAUUUUUUUUUCAAGGAGAGAUUCAAAAUUGAUGCCUCUAUUUCAGAAUCAACACCAUUUAUUCACCACACACCACGAUCAUUCCAGCCUGUAAAGGACAAGGUUUCAGCUCCAGCUCCUCAACCAUCUCAUUGCAUGCCAUCAGAGCAACAGUGCCGUGUGCUCUGGUGAAUGACUCCUCCAACAGACUGUUUUUCUUCUCGGCAUUCGUCGCUUGCUCUUUUAUUUAUUUAUUUAUUUAUCUAUCUAUUUAUUUUCUUGCUUUUAUGAAGCCAUCAUUAAUCUAAUCAGUGAAUGUCGCGCAAGAAUAUUUUCUCUUUUUUGCAGACCCUAACGCUUAUCAAACUUCGGUCUACUCUUGCACAACCAAAUGUUCUGUAUCUACCAUUUGGGUUAAUUAGAGUGCAUCCUUUACAGCUCUGAUAACAAUCAGUAUUGUACCAUCAUACAUAGCAUCUUUUGGAUUCAGGAAAGAGUUUGUGCGACUAAGAAAUAUGAAGUUCUAGAAGAUGAGAGCAUCAUAUGUACUCAUUACAGCUCUGGAGAUAAAUGCAGCACUUCAAUACACCUUAAAAAUAGAUAAUUGUUUUGAAGAGGUGGAGAGUAUUCAUGGGAAAGAGAUGAGAAGGAAGAAAGAAGAUCCUCUGAAUACUCAGCAUUGACGUGGAGCCAAGCAGGGUUGCAAGGAGCCUUCUCUGAUCCUUUCAGUGCAUGGUGACAGGGCUCUGUGUCCCAAGAGAAAGAGUGGUGAAGUGAAUGAGGAAACAAAUGCAUUUCUGUAGGUGAUGUAUUUUUUUCAAUUCAGAUGCUUUUUUAAGGAAGUAGGGGAGAAAAAUGUACUUCUCAAAUGUCAAGUACUUGAAAGACUAAAAAUAGAUCACCGGAAUAAAUAAAUUAACCCAGAAGAGAGGACUGAUUCUCUGCAGGCAUCAGGGAUUAAAUAAAUUCACUAAAUUCAAAGUGGUAUUCCAGAUAAGAGCUCUUUGUGCUGCAGCAUGUACAGCUUAUUGAUUAUAGGAUUGAGGUGCUGUGCACUCUUGUAAAAUGUACUCCGGCUGAUACAACUUAAUCCUGUGGUAACGUACAGCAUACAGCCCUGCACACCAAGCAUGGAGCUAGCUUAUAUUUUCUUGUUUAUUUUAAUUUUGUCCCUGCCUUCAUUUGCUGCACCACAUCUGUGCCCUCUCAUUCCCAGGCAGCACUCAGCAUAAGUGCUGAGGUGCCUCCAAACACACUGACUCAGCAUGAUAAGAGCUGUGCUGCCAAGCAGGAGCUGACAGGGAAGAGUCUGUGGGAACUUCCUCCUGUUACAUCCCCACCCAGAGGAAGGUAAAGCCUGAGCACCUCAUUCUUUCCUUGUAUGCCAUGGGCUGGCUGCAAGGUUGGGACCCCGAGCACUGGUGAUGCCUAGUUGACACAAGGGGCAGAGCGUACAGAGACAUUCUCUCUGCAGACGUACAUGCAUCCAUCAAAGUGUUGGAAGUAUGCAUAACUAAGGUGAAAGCACUCCCUGUUGGAUUCUUCUGGGCAUGCAGAACAAGUAGAAAGUUUUGUAAGUCCUGCUGGGUGAAAGCAAGCCAUUCCAGAGUGAAAUUAUACACCUAAGUGCAUUUUGGUUAUCUUACAGUUAAUAUCCUCAAUCUCCAUCGUUACUAAAGAGAAAAACCAUCUCCUGAUACGAGCUGGUGCUUACAGACAUGUCACAAGCACAAUGAAGGCCUAUCCUCAGCCUUCUGCUUGGGUGUCAGUGUGUUCCAUUGGUCUCAUCCUGCAUCACGUCCCCUCCUGAGCCCACAAACCCCAACCCUGGCAGUUGGAGAAGGCAGGGAGGGAAAGGAAGGAUGCACCUUGGCAUUGUCUGUGAUGGGCUCAUAGUUGGGCUCACACCUUCGCUCUCAGAAUGGAGACUCUCUGUUCAUACCUGUUCGCACAAAGAAGGCAACAGCUGUUUUCUGAAGUAGAGACACUACUCUCACCUUUCUGGCCAGAUGUGGAACAUCAAAGGAAGAUCUCCUGCCUCUACUGCUCAAACCAGGUCUUUGCAGGUUGCUCCAAAGAGCUGCAGACCUGUGAGUUUUACCACAGGAUUUGUCAAGAAAGAUGACACAAUCCCAGUCUGCCAGUGGUGACAGAAAGCUGCAGAGCACAGCAGUGCUACUGUCAUGCUGGGAAGAUUUGGUGCAUCCCUCUUGCCCCUCACCUAGCCCCUUACCUUAAGGAAUUCCUGGUUGCUAGUUUUCUCAGUCACCAAAAGUGUGGAUCUGACCAAGGAAAAUUCUGUUAUCAUUAUUUUUUUUUUUUGCCUCCCCUGGGAGAAAGUGAUGCAGAGGAACAAUUUGAAUGAGGGAGUUGCAGAGAAUUCAUCUUUGGGUAGCAUCCCAACUCCCCAUGUCUCUCUCCCACCUAUUUGACAGAUCUCCCAUUAUCUUACUUCACCAAAAUCAAGUCUCUUAAUUUCAAGGCACAUAGAGUCUACUGUGUAACACUGCCUGUGUGUGUGAUCCACAAGGCCUAUACUUUAACACCCAAGAUUCAUUAAUAUUUCCUGCAGAGUGCUCAGCAAGUAGCAAAUAAAGCAGGAAGUGUCCCAGAUGUUGGGAAGAAAAAAUGGAAUAAUUCAUUGCUUACUAACGUCAAAUGCUAAUGUGAGAAAAGCAUCCUUGAAGAAAUCCUUGACUAAAAUUCAUCAGUGAUGUGAAAUCACUGUUUUAAUUAUGCAUUUUUGAAUGUAUUUAUUAGUCUCAGUACUGAUCUGACUUACAGAUGUUUAACAGUGAUAAGAGUCUACUGCAGUCUCUGGAAUUACUCAUGAUUUAUAAUGACAAAACUUGGAUCAGAAUUAGGUCCUUGUCAGUACUCUAUAAUAUCCUUUCAUCAGACUUCUUUACAUGCAACAGAUGAAAGAGGCCGUGGUUUCCACAAUUUCAAACCCUGCUGCUGACUCCAUCAACUUAUUUUUUUUAAGCUUCUCCUCAGAAAUAAUGAUUCCCACACAAAAUUUUGUCUGUAUAAGGCAUACUUGCCACAAGAAAAACAUGAGGCCAAAAGACCUUAUAGUCCACCAAUAUGAUGGACUAUCUUGUGUUCAAUCUUGUGCUGACUACAGAUGUUGCAUUUUAUUACAGGUGCUAGUUAAUUUAAUUGUGCCAGUGUAUAAUGUCAUUUGCUAUAUCCUUAUUGUUGUGAUUAUUAGAAUCUGCUCAAUAUUAGAGUUUAAACAACAAAAAAACCCAACAUCUUCCAUUCAAGAAUGAUUCAAAGUCAUGAUUUUGAAAAGAAUGAUUGAGUUUUAAACUAUUGCUUGUUCUAGAGCUGAUCCAGAAGGAGCAAGUCUCCAGGGAUGGUUUACUCCCUAAGGCAUGAAUGCAUAAUUAAGCUAAAUGUAUUCCAUAAAUGCCUUGAUGACAUUAAACUAAAUUUUUUAAAGAACAGAUGGAGAAAGUUAAUAAAUAUUUCAUUCUGUAAUAUAAAACUCACUUCUGUAUUCACAACUUCAGGGAUCCUCAGCUUCACAGAUAUCAAUAAGUCUGAUGGAUUUCUUGCUGCAUUCUCAUACUUCUGCCCUGGUGUCUCUUAUGGGAUCAUCAUUUCUGCAUGCUUGGAUUGUUUUAUGGGAUCAGUGAAAG